GUGCUCGCUUCAGCAGCACAUAUACUAAAAUUGAGACGAUACAGAGAUUAGCAUGGCCCCUGCACAAGGAUGACAUGCAAAUUCAUGAAGCAUUCCAUAUUAAA
rnacentral:snRNA from 1 species